rnacentral:rRNA from 1 species
CCUACGGGAGACUUCAGUGGGGGAUAUUGCACAAUGGGGGAAACCCUGAUGCAGCGACGCCGCGUGGGUGAAGAAGCGCCUCGGCGCGUAAAGCCCUGUCAGCAGGGAAGAAAAUGACGGUACCUGAAGAAGACGCCCCGGCUAACUCCGUGCCAGCAGCCGCGGUCAUACGUAGGGGGCAAGCGUUAUCCGGAUUUACUGGGUGUAAAGGGGGCGCAGACGGCGAUGCAAGCCAGGAGUGAAAGCCCGGGGCCCAACCCCGGGACUGCUCUUGGAACUGCGUGGCUAGAGUGCAGGAGGGGCAGGCGGAAUUCCUGGUGUAGCGGUGAAAUGCGUAGAUAUCAGGAGGAACACCGGUGGCGAAGGCGGCCUGCUGGACUGCAACUGACGUUGAGGCCCGAAAGUGUGGGUAUCAAACAGGAUUAGAUACCCCGGUAGUC